rnacentral:lncRNA from 1 species
GCAUCAGCUGGACAUUAUUCAUCCUCAUUGAACAAAACCUGCAGUGGAACAUUGUGACGUACGUUAGAGGUCUGACAAAUUAAAUGUUGCCUGCCUGCUUAAAAUAACUAUGUUGAUCAAGUAAAGGUAAAUCCCUCACUACUCGGUGAAAUAAUUUCUGGUUCCACAAGCAAACACGCACCACAAAUUAAAAAAUGGCAACCCAUAAGAUGGGCGCAAGAAAUUGACAAAAGCCAC